rnacentral:rRNA from 1 species
AUGGACGUGGCGUCGCUGCUCCCGUUCGCCAUCGCGCUGGUGGCGAUCCCGAUCUCGCUGGCGCUGCUGGACCGGCUGCGGCUGGGCCGGCUGCCGCCGGGCCCGCGCCCGUGGCCGGUGCUGGGCAACCUGCGGCAGAUCAAGCCGGUGCGGUGCCGCUGCUUCCAGGAGUGGGCGGAGCGGUACGGGCCCAUCAUCUCCGUCUGGUUCGGCUCCUCGCUCACCGUCGUCGUCUCCACCUCCGAGCUGGCCAAGGAGGUGCUCAAGGAGCACGACCAGCAGCUCGCCGACCGGCCCCGGAACCGCUCCACCCAGCGCUUCAGCCGCAACGGCCAGGACCUCAUCUGGGCCGACUACGGCCCGCACUACAUCAAGGUGCGCAAGCUCUGCAACCUCGAGCUCUUCACCCAGAAGCGCCUCGAGGCGCUGCGCCCCAUCCGCGAGGACGAGGUCACCGCCAUGGUCGAGUCCGUCCACCGCGCCGCCGCCGGCCCCGGUAAUGAAGGAAAGCCAUUGGUAGUGAGGAAUCACCUUGCUAUGGUGUCCUUCAACAAUAUAACAAGGCUAGCUUUUGGGAAGCGGUUCAUGAAUGCAAAUGGUGACAUUGAUGAAGAAGGGCAGGAAUUCAAGAUUAUUGUGAACAACGGAAUCAAAAUUGGUGCAUCUCUCUCUGUUGCUGAAUACAUUUGGUACUUGAGAUGGCUGUGUCCACUUAAUGAGGAGCUUUACAAGACCCACAAUGAGAGGAGAGAUCGUCUGACCAAGAAGAUCAUUGAAGAGCAUGCACAGGCCCUCCAGGAGAGAGGUGCCAAACAGCACUUUGUGGACGCACUGUUUACUCUCAGAGAGAAGUAUGACCUUAGUGAUGACACAGUUUUCGGACUUCUAUGGGACAUGAUCACCGCCGGAAUGGACACGACAGUCAUAUCAGUCGAGUGGGCCAUGGCAGAGCUGGUCAGGAACCCCAGGGUGCAGAAGAAGCUGCAGGAGGAGCUGGACAGCGUGGUCGGCCGCGACCGUGUCAUGUCCGAGACCGACUUCCAGAACCUGCCCUACCUGAUGGCCGUCGUGAAGGAGUCCCUCCGCCUGCACCCGCCGACGCCGCUCAUGCUGCCCCACAAGGCCAGCGCGAGCGUCAAGGUCGGCGGCUACAGCAUCCCCAAGGGCGCCAACGUGAUGGUGAACGUGUGGGCGGUGGCCCGGGACCCCAAGGUGUGGAGCAGCCCGCUGGAGUUCCGGCCGGAGCGGUUCCUGGAGGAGAGCAUCGACAUCAAGGGCAGCGACUUCAGGGUGCUGCCCUUCGGCGCGGGCCGGAGGGUGUGCCCCGGCGCGCAGCUCGGGAUCAACCUCGUCGCCUCCAUGAUCGGGCACAUGCUGCACCACUUCGAGUGGUCUCUGCCGGAGGGCGCCAGGCCGGAGGACAUCAGCAUGAUGGAGUCCCCCGGGCUCGUCACCUUCAUGGGCACGCCGCUGCAGGCCGUCGCCACGCCACGCCUGGAGAAUGAGGAGCUGUACAAGAGGGUCCCGGUCGAGAUCUGA